GACGAACGCUGGCGGCGUGCUUAACACAUGCAAGUCGAGCGGUAAGGCCCUUUCGGGGGUACACGAGCGGCGAACGGGUGAGUAACACGUGGGUGACCUGCCCUCAGCUCUGGGAUAAGCCUGGGAAGCCGGGUCUAAUACUGGAUAUGACUCCAUGACGCAUGUUGUGGGGUGGAAAGCCUUGUGCGGCUGAGGAUGGGCCCGCGGCCUAUCAGCUUGUUGGUGGGGUGAUGGCCUACCAAGGCGACGACGGGUAGCCGGCCUGAGAGGGCGACCGGCCACACUGGGACUGAGACACGGCCCAGACUCCUACGGGAGGCAGCAGUGGGGAAUCUUGCGCAAGUGGGCGAAAGCCUGACGCAGCGACGCCGCGUGAGGGAUGACGGCCU
rnacentral:rRNA from 1 species